rnacentral:sRNA from 1 species
ACAAUCGCCAUUAAGGCAGUAAUUAUUCUAAUUUUUACUAAUUUAGUUUUUCAAGCGUUAGCUUUUUAAUCUUAACCCCUAAACUAACAAAGCGCUGUUCGUAUUCGGUCAUAAUAUUGGUACUAGUCAAAGGUGAAUUGUGCAGAUCUGUCGUUUGCUCAAUUAUCUUAAAGUGAGCUACUGUUUUCUGCAAGACUUCUAAGGUAAAUUCAAACAACUGAUCGUUGUCCGUUUUGAAUUCUAUUAAACCUUGCUUUUUUAAAAGUUGGUGAAACUGCUUGAGGAAAUGUGGAGCAGUUAGUCGCCUCAACGUGUGACGCUUUUUUGGUCAAGGAUCGGGGAAGUUAAUGAAGAUUUUGCUAAUCGAUUGUGGUUUUAAGUACUCUGUUAGCUGGUUGGCAUCCAAACACGUUAUUAAUAAAUUACGUGGUUUAACCUCUAAGCGGUUUACCUUAUUAAUUGCCUUUAAAACAAUCGUGGGUUCACGCUCGAUUCCCACAAAAAAACACUUUGGGUUUUGCUGUGCUUGCUGGCUUAAAAACCAACUUUUACCACAACCUAUUUCCACGAAGAGCGAUUCACUUUCAAUAGUUGACAGUUGUUCUGGGUUACUAAAGUAAGGGCUGUCUUGUACCCUUACAAGAGCAUCUUUAACUUUUCUUAAGCGCACUGUUUAUCUAAAUUAAAGUAAUGAUUUUGUUUAGCAUACUCAUACAGUACACAAGCUACUGUAUUGGACAAGUUAAUGCUUCUUACAGGGUUUCAAAUCGGAAUCCGUACCUGGUUCUGCGAGUAUUGUUCCAUGAGUGUUUGCGGUAAUCCCUUGGUUUCUUGACCAAAAACAAAGUACAGUUGUUCCCUGUUAUCUGUUUGCAUGUUAAUUUGGUCUGGGGUAGUAGUACCACUCUUUGUCAACAACCAAAUUGCUUUAUUUGGUGGUGUUGUUUCAAUGAAGUGUUCCCAGGAUUUGUGUUCAAACAUUUGCACCUUAUCCCAACAAUUUAACCCAGCACGCACCAUCCGCUUAUCAUUGAGAAAAAAGCCAUAGGGCUUAAUCAGAUGCAAGUUAGCUUUAAAAGCGGUACAGCUCCGAACAAUGUUCCCAGUGUUAUUAGGAAUUUCUGGGCAAAAUAAGACGAUAUUAAUCGCUGAUUUAUACAUCAGAUAGAAGUUAGUUAAAUAUUAAUAAAAUUACUAUGCUUAAUGAACUUAAAAAAGACAC